rnacentral:siRNA from 1 species
AGUUUGGAGUGGAAUAGACCGUUC